GGGUUGGCCGAGUGGUUAAGGCGUUGGACUUAAGCUACAAUGGACAAGUGUCCCGCGUGGGGUUCGAACCCCCACUAACCCA
rnacentral:tRNA from 1 species